ACCUGCCCGUCCGGCCGCUCGGCCCCCGCGGGGGACAGUCGGGCUCCAGGCCGGGCGCGACGGCCCCCGGGGCCCCCGGAGCCAACGGGGCUGCUGUCUCCGGGUGCCACCAGCACUGGGGACCCGGCGGGGACCUGGCCCCCUGGACUCCGGCGGCCGAGAGGAAGCGGUAGUCACAAGUGUCCUGCUAGAGCUUGGGGACUGUGAGGAACAGCACGGGUUCAGAAAACCGCACGAAACAAAGAGAGAGAUCACAAGUUGGCAGAGAGGCAGAGAGGGAAGCAGGUACCCUGCUGAGCAGAGAGCCUGAUGCGGGACCCGAUCCCAGGACCUGAAGACCAUGACCCGAGCCAAAGGCAGAGGCUUAACCCACUAAGCGACCCAGGCGCCCAUGUCUUUCUACAUUUUAUUUGCAGCAGACCAUGAUGAAUCAACUAUAUUGAUCUUUAUAUUUAACCAUUUGGGGGAGUGGCAUUCAACCAUUUGUUGAAUUUGUGGGUUAUCUUUGAACAAAGUUGAUUUUUUUGCUUUUCCAUUCUUAUUCUUCUCUGUUAUUCAGUUUGGGCAUUUUCUACUUACUUGUGUGUAUGUUUUUUUAAGACUUACUUCGUUAUUGUAGAGAGCUCAAGUGUAUGCACAUGUGUGUCUGAGCAGGGGAGGGACAGAGGGAGAGAAGUCAUAGACUCCCUGCAGAGCACAGAGCCCAACGGGAUCCUGAGAUCAUGACCUGAGCCAAAAUCAAGAGUCAGAUGCUUAGCAGUGCCCCACCUCCUUACCUGUUUUCACAUUUAGUAUGUACUGUUUUCUGCUAUGCUAAC